UUUUCAAUAAAUCUUGCUGCUGCUCACUCCUUGGGUCCACACUGCUUUAAUGAGCUGUAACACUGACUGUGAAGUUCUGCAGCUUCACUCCUGAGGCCAGCGAGACCACGAACCCACCGGGAGAAAUGAACAACUACAGAUGCGCCACCUUAAGAGCUGUAACACUCACCAUGAGGGUCUGCAGCUUCAUUCCUGAAGUCGGUGAGAAAAUCAAAGCCCGUAUCAUCUGCUUCACGUCCCGCAUUUACUUAACGCUGUAAGCAUAGAACGCUGUUCCCAGUGACUACCCCUCCAUCCCCGGUUCUGUGAUUUCAGAGACAGUCGUGGUAUCCUUGAGGGCAGGCAUUGGUUUUUUUUUUAAAUUUAUUACAAUAUUUAGCUUAUUCCUAGUAGAGAGCAGUCAAUGGAUACAUUUUCCAAAUUGAAUUGACUUCAUGUAAGUGAAUUUUUUAAUAAACAGCAAAUUUACACGGUGAAUAUUACCUUUUCAGAAUCUGUUUAUUAUAUUAAUAUUGAUUUCUCAACAUUAUACCUCUAUUAAAAACUCUUUGUUAAUGAAGGGUUUUGACACUAAAAAAUAAACUAAUAUAUAGCAUAACACUGAAGUUUAAGAAAAUUAUUGUAUGAAACAUUCAGUAAAAGCAAGCACUUACUACCCUGUCAGUCCAAAAUGUAAUAUUGUGCAAUAGCCUUUAAAUUGUAUUGUUAUAAAAAUGUUGCUUAACUGGGC
rnacentral:lncRNA from 10 species